rnacentral:rRNA from 1 species
UACGUAGGGUGCAAGCGUUGUCCGGAAUUAUUGGGCGUAAAGAGCUCGUAGGCGGUCUGUCGCGUCUGCUGUGAAAACUCGGGGCUUAACCCCGGGCCUGCAGUGGGUACGGGCAGACUAGAGUGCGGUAGGGGAGACUGGAAUUCCUGGUGUAGCGGUGAAAUGCGCAGAUAUCAGGAGGAACACCGGUGCGGAAGGCAGGUCUCUGGACAGUUCCUGACGCUGAGGCACGAAGGUCAGGGGAGCAAACGGGG